rnacentral:lncRNA from 1 species
UUUUAGUCGUAAAUUAAUGAGAAAAAAACUCGUAAAUUUACGAUAUUAAGUGAGUGAGCAUGCAGAGCAGCAGGGGAACACCGCACAGCAACAGAGCAGACCGACUAAACUCAGUUGAACAGGUGAUCUGAAUGAGCUUUAACGUUCCAAAUAUCUGGAAGCUCAAUUGUUUGAUUUACAAUUUAUUAAAUUUUUAUUUAGUGAUGGUUGGUUUGCAGGAUCCCUGCAGCCCGAUGAAGCCAUCGGUGUCCCUGCAGCUUUCCACUUCAAUCCUUUCUUUCCUCCACCAAAAACAAGAUCUCUACGUUUGUGUGACGCUUCCGUCUGAGGAGGAGGAUCACUUUUUUUGGCAUUUUCAACGUUCUAAUGCUAAUAUAAUAGACUAUUUUCAUUCAUCUUUGUUCUUUAAUGAUAUAACGGGACGUUUACUUCCGCAUUGGUGUUCGGAUCUGAUGACAGGUGACAGAUGAACUUCAGGGUUUGUGAAGGAAAAGGAGAAUAAAAGCUGCAACGAUCCUAUGCACCCAAACGUGUCUCUGAGCUCCUUAUUUUACAUAUGAAACUCCGCUUUACUGACACUGAACCCCGGAAAGCCGCCUCUACUGACAAUAAUCUGAUUUUGAGUCGCCAAAGGUUCAGAAUCUCUUUGUUUUAAACGUAUAAUUUCCGGUUUGGAAAUAAAGCUUCACAAAAGGCUCCACAUCUUUCAUCUUCAAGCGAUGCUCCGAUAAACGGACAACUUCGGUGUUUUCUCCUUGUUAAUCUAUGACUUUUUUCUCGUAAAUUUAAGAGAUAAAAUGUCGUAAUUUUACUUUUUUUUUUUUGGGUGGCCCUAAAACUCUGUCGUAAACAAAAGAUCAAAAAAUUAUUGAUAAAGAUUAUUUCUUAAUGAAUUUUAAUUGCAGCAAAAUUAGUGGGAAAACCUUGUUCAAAUUUGAAAUGGUCAAACUAAAUAAACAGCUGACAGGAGAACUGACCUAAAUCUCAUCAUGGAUGGACUGUAUUUUCCGGUACAUGAUGGGUAAAAGCAAUGACAGCAAUCCAGAGCGCCUUCUGAUUGUGUUUACUGAUGUCAAUUUCAUUUUGAGACCUACAUGGUCUGAAUGUUUGGUUAGGUGUUAAUGUGAACAUGCUAACUAAUAUGUUGCGGUGUC